rnacentral:rRNA from 1 species
UACGGAGGGAGCUAGCGUUGUUCGGAAUUACUGGGCGUAAAGCGCACGUAGGCGGCUUUGUAAGUUAGAGGUGAAAGCCCGGAGCUCAACUCCGGAAUUGCCUUUAAGACUGCAUCGCUUGAAUCCAGGAGAGGUGAGUGGAAUUCCGAGUGUAGAGGUGAAAUUCGUAGAUAUUCGGAAGAACACCAGUGGCGAAGGCGGCUCACUGGACUGGUAUUGACGCUGAGGUGCGAAAGCGUGGGGAGCGAACAGG